AGAAAGUGUUUGGCCACCGGGGUGGCUUAGUUGGGUAAGUGUCCACCUCUUGAUUUCGGCUCAGGGUCCUGGGAUGGAGCCCCACAU